rnacentral:rRNA from 1 species
GCCUUACACAUGCAAGUCGAACGGCAGCAUGAUCUAGCUUGCUAGAUUGAUGGCGAGUGGCGAACGGGUGAGUAAUACAUCGGAACGUGCCCUGUAGUGGGGGAUAACUAGUCGAAAGAUUAGCUAAUACCGCAUACGACCUGAGGGUGAAAGUGGGGGACCGCAAGGCCUCAUGCUAUAGGAGCGGCCGAUGUCUGAUUAGCUAGUUGGUGAGGUAAAGGCUCACCAAGGCGACGAUCAGUAGCUGGUCUGAGAGGACGAUCAGCCACACUGGGACUGAGACACGGCCCAGACUCCUACGGGAGGCAGCAGUGGGGAAUUUUGGACAAUGGGGGCAACCCUGAUCCAGCAAUGCCGCGUGUGUGAAGAAGGCCUUCGGGUUGUAAAGCACUUUUGUCCGGAAAGAAAUCGCACUUACUAAUAUUAGGUGUGGAUGACGGUACCGGAAGAAUAAGGACCGGCUAACUACGUGCCA